rnacentral:rRNA from 1 species
UACGUAGGGGGCGAGCGUUGUCCGGAUUUACUGGGCGUAAAGGGCGCGCAGGCGGUCUGUGCAAGUUUGGAGUGACAGUCCUCGGCUUAACCGAGGAAGGCCUCUGAAAACUGCGAGACUUGAGGACCAGAGAGGGACAUAGAAUUCCGGGUGGAGUGGUGAAAUGCGUAGAUAUCCGGAGGAAUACCAAAGGCGAAGGCAGUGUCCUGGAUGGUAACUGACGCUGAGGCGCGAAAGCUAGGGGAGCGAACAGG